rnacentral:misc_RNA from 1 species
GCGCUCUCUCUCCCCAUUUCUCUCUGCAGAUCAUCUAUCCUUAAUACUAAAAAGGGAGUUAGGGGUGGAUUUCGGGUGUUUGCAGUAUUUGGGGAGGAAGGUGGGCCGCUAGAUAAGAAGAGUUUAUGGGGUACCAUCUUUGACGUUGAGGAUCCAAGGUCUAAGAUACCACGAUCUAAAGGGAAAUUCUUGGAUGUAAAUCAAG